CCUUUACCAAUUCACAAGUGCCUUGCUCAUCGCUCUUCGGGAAUAAUUUUUACUAAUUCAAAAAAAGGAUUAAAAUUAACUGCAGGGGGACAGAACACGACAUCCAGUUGUUGCCGAUUAAGGCUUAUCACAGGAGUGCGCCCACCGUUUAUGUCGUAUAAGAUUCAGAUUGCCAAGAUGCACAAGUCCUAUUACUGCCUCUUUUCGAUGCGUGAAACCUGCAUUCCUUACGUGCCCAUGCUUAAUCGUUACCCACACUGACUGCUAGUGACCUACCUAGUUAUGCCAAAAUGGAAGUUGAUUGUGGCCUCUGCUUCCCUGGAAAACUUGGCAGGCCAAAGAUACUUCAUUAAGUGUUACCCUGUAACCAGCCGGUUGUUUUUUUUUUGCAACAAACGUUAUCGAACAGCUUUGAUACAUUCGGCUGAAGUUGACACCCACAAUUUUUCCUCCGCUACUAUCACACAAUCUCCUCUAAGAUAUCUUCUGUAGAUUCAUGGAGAUUUUGAUUACUUCCCAACAUCGGUUGGUCAGCUGGCAUCAAUAUGUUCGUCUCGGUUACGGUCGUUGGACGUGACUCUUGGACACCCGAAGUUUCUGAGUUGAAAUUUAAACGAGCGAGCAACAUACAUAUGACGAAGAUGACUACUAUCAUCAAGAUUAACAGUCCAGCCAUUGUCCGACUUAAUACGACUAAAACUGGAUCAUCUGUUUCAGGCAAUAACUGUUCACCAACAAAAAGUUUAAAAUGUUGUCUUAUCAAAUCAAAACUCAAUAUACUUUGUUUUGCAGUACCUGACUAAAAACGACCAAGAGGUUUUUUGCGAAGGACCGUAUGAAAAUGAUUACAACAUUGAGGUUGCUCUUCAUGUUGAAAUGUUUUUCCAGCCUGUUUGUUACACAAAGAAACCAAUUCUCACAAAAUGCCAAAGACUAAAAGUAUCUGCCAACUAAAUGGAGUCGAAUAAAGUUAAUGUAUGCUACCUAUCAGUAUUUUCAGCCUGCCAGCUAUAAAAAAUUUUUAAGAAAGAAACGAUAUAAACGCAGGCAUGUUUAAUUUACCAUGCUAAUAAUUUCGAUUUUUAAUUUUAUCUGUUAAUGUUUCAAAUUCUAUUUUGAAUGAAAGAAAGUUUCCCCAUCCCCAAUAAAUAGUAAAUUUUUAAAAUAAAUGAUUAAUGAAAAAAUGAACAAUAUAUCCAUGCUAUCAACAUAACCUGCUAUACAAUUCCUGGCGAAAGCCGUCCAAAAUGUCUGUUGCAAAAGAACACCGAAAUACAAUUUAAAAGUUUUA